GCAGGAUUCGGUCUCGAAGUGACGGGAAAGGCAGAGUCCGAUUCCGAUGUGGUGUGUGUUGUGUUGUUUGUAAGAAGAAUUCAGCCGUUGGAAAUCUUUGAAGCGUGGUUUAUCUCGAUUGGGUGUAACGUACCCAUCUGGAGGGAACAGAGUUUCUUUGCAAGUUUCUGACAGACAGCAAGAGAGAAUAUGAACACUUGACUUCUCAACAUCAUUUGAGAACAAGUCAAUAAGCAAGAGAGAAUGAACACUUCGAUUCCUCGCCAUCACUUUGAAGUUGCUGCUCAGGAAUCCAUGAUUUCAGCUUUUCUACAAAGAUUGCUCUUGCUCCUCAGGAAUUUGAUUUGGCCGAAAAAACAAAACACGAACAUUUAUUGCAGCUGAACAACUUUUGUACUUAAUGUUUAAUGUUGGCAUGUUACCUUGAACGCAGCAAAAUUGCAGAAGUAUGAAGCCGAAGCUAAUUAAGAAGGAAGAUUCAAUCUAGGAUGCAUAUCUUGGCACUGCUAUUAUUUCAGUCAGAAAGAAAAAUGGAACACUGUUUCAGUUACAGCAUGCAUGUAUUUGCCUGUGCUACAGAUCUGUUAUGUGAUUAUCCAUUCAUGUGAAUUAUCCCUUCACAAACGAAAGUUUAUAGUACAUGGCACGAAGGUAAAGCAAAAAAGAGAAGAAAAAAAAAACUACCAUAUACAUGAUUUGUUACA